UAGGGUGCAAGCGUUGUCCGGAAUUAUUGGGCGUAAAGAGCUCGUAGGUGGUUCAUCACGUCGGAUGUGAAAAUCUGGGGCUUAACCCCAGACCUGCAUUCGAUACGGGCGAGCUAGAGUGUGGUAGGGGAGACUGGAAUUCCUGGUGUAGCGGUGGAAUGCGCAGAUAUCAGGAGGAACACCAAUGGCGAAGGCAGGUCUCUGGGCCAUUACUGACACUGAGGAGCGAAAGCGUGGGGAGCGAACAGGAUUAGAUACCCUGGUAGUCCACGCCGUAAACGAUGGGCACUAGUUGUGGGAACCUUCCACGGUUUCUGCGACGCAGCUAACGCAUUAAGUGCCCCGCCUGGGGAGUACGAUCGCAAGAUUAAAACUCAAAGGAAUUGACGGGGCCCCGCACAAGCAGCGGAGCAUGCGGCUCAAUUCGACGCAACGCGAAGAACCUUACCAAGGCUUGACAUAUACAGGAAUAUGACAGAGAUGUCAUAGCCGCAAGGUCUGUAUACAGGUGGUGCAUGGUUGUCGUCAGCUCGUGUCGUGAGAUGUUGGGUUAAGUCCCGCAACGAGCGCAACCCUCGUUCUGUGUUGCCAGCAUUUAGUUGGGGACUCACAGGAGACUGCCGGGGUUAACUCGGAGGAAGGUGGGGAUGACGUCAAAUCAUCAUGCCCCUUAUGUCUUGGGCUGCACGCAUGCUACAAUGGCUGGUACAAACGGCUGCGAUACCGCAAGGUGGAGCGAAUCCGAGGAAGCCAGUCUCAGUUCGGAUUGGGGUCUGCAACUCGACCCCAUGAAGUCGGAGUUGCUAGUAAUCGUAGAUCAGCAACGCUACGGUGAAUACGU
rnacentral:rRNA from 1 species